AACGCGAAGAACCUUACCUGGGCUUGACAUGCCUGGAUUAUCCCGGUGAAAGCCGGGUAGGCCCCGCAAGGGGUACAACAGGCACAGGUGCUGCAUGGCUGUCGUCAGCUCGUGUCGUGAGAUGUCGGGUUAAGUCCCUUAACGAGCGAAACCUUUGCCCUUAGUUACCAGCGGGUUAUGCCGGGGACUCUAAGGGGACUGCCGGUGUCAAACCGGAGGAAGGUGGAGAUGACGUCAAGUCCUCAUGGCCUUUAUGCCCAGGGCCACACACGUGCUACAAUGGCGUGCACAGAGCGAACCAAGAGCGCAAGCUGGAGGAAAUCGCAGAAAUCACGCCCCAGUUCAGAUCGGAGGCUGCAACUCGCCUCCGUGAAGUUGGAAUCGCUAGUAAUCGCGGAUCAGCCACGCCGCGGUGAAUGUGUUCCCGGGCCUUGUACACACCGAGACGAC
rnacentral:rRNA from 1 species